AGGACGAACGCUGGCGGCGUGCUUAACACAUGCAAGUCAAGGGGGCCCAGCAAUGGGCAACCGGCGAACGGGUGCGUAACACGUGAGCAACCUACCGAAAUGUGGGGGAUAGCCGGCCUAACGGCCGAGUAAUACCGCAUACGCUCUCGAUGAGGCAUUUCAUUGAGAGGAAACCUACGGGACAUUCGAGGGGCUCGCGGCCUAUCAGCUAGUUGGCGAGGUAACGCUCACCAAGCAACGACGGGUA
rnacentral:rRNA from 1 species